GUUUAAAGUAUUAACUUGACACUAGUUUCAAAGUUCAGGGUAUGGAAUUUUUCCAUACUUUUUGAGCCAGUGAGCAUCAAUUUGCCCAAUCCUCACUUCUCUCUCUCGCUCGCCCGCUCUCGCAUUUUCUCAAAUGAGUUGCGGGCUUGGAUUGCGGGCAUGGGGUCUAAGGCUGGUUUCCACCGCGGAGCGACCUCUUCCCAGAUGUCCUACACUUUCGUUUUCUCGCCGUCGUACAUUAGCUACCUGCUGCACUUUAGACUUGAAGCAGAAGAGGAAGAAGGAGAAGGUUCUCGUAAUCUCGGGCCCAACUGGCGCUGGAAAAAGCAGGCUCGCCUUGGAGCUUGCAAAACGCCUCAACGGAGAAAUCAUUAGCGCAGAUUCCGUGCAGGUGUACCGCGGACUUGAUAUUGGAUCGGCAAAGCCUUCCUUGAGUGAUAGAAAGGAAGUUCCACACCAUUUGGUUGACAUAUUGCAUCCAUCUGAAGAGUAUUCAGUUGGACAAUUCUUUGAGGAUGCAAGGCAAGCUACAAGAGAAAUUCUUGAAAAUGGUCGUGUACCAAUAGUUGUUGGUGGAACUGGAUUAUAUUUACGAUGGUAUAUUUACGGAAAGCCAGAAGUCCCAAAAGCAUCUCCCGAGAUUGCUUCUGAAGUAUACUCAGAACUCAUGAAUUUACAGAGGGAUGGGGACUGGGAUGCAGCUGUGCGGUUGGUUGUGGAUGCAGGUGACCCUAAGGCUCAAUAUUUGGCUUCCAAUGACUGGUAUCGGCUUAGACGCAGCCUUGAGAUUAUCAAGUCUAGCGGUUCACCUCCAUCUGCUUUCCAAGUACCAUAUGAUUCUUUCAAGGAACAGAUAAACUCAAAAAUGUCAGAUCAUGAUGAUUCCUUUUCUGCUGAUACACUUGGAGAAAAUCUUUCAGAGGAUCUGGACUAUGACUUCAUUUGCUUUUUCCUUUCAAGCCCAAGGCUGGAUCUGUAUAGACUGAUUGAUUUGCGCUGUGAGGAUAUGCUUAUGGGAAGAGAUGGAAUCCUGGCUGAGGCCACAUGGCUUCUUGAUACAGGUCUUCUUCCAAAUUCAAAUUCUGCAACUCGAGCAAUUGGCUAUAGACAAGCUAUGGAGUACCUAGUAAAGUGCAGGCAGCAACAGGGCCACAGCUCUGCUCAAGAUUUCUAUGCCUUUCUGUCAGAAUUUCAGAAAUCAUCUAGAAACUUUGCAAAGAGGCAAAUAACAUGGUUCCGUAAUGAGCUUAUUUAUCACUGGCUUGAUGCUUCACGCCCACUGGAGAAAAUUCUCAACUUUAUAUUUGAUGCAUACCAUGACCAAACAGGAAAUGUAGUGGUGCCUGAAUCACUUAAUUUUAAGAAAGAUAUAUCCAGUCACAGGGAAAUUUCUGAAUUGAAGGCUUACCGCACUAAAAAUAGGCACUUCGUUAGGAGAGAAGAUUGUUAUGUUAUUUUGGAUUGGAUAAGAAGAACACAAACAAUGGAAGUUGUUCAUUAAGUUGAUUGUGCUUGGUUUUUGACCCCGAGGCAUGAGACACAGUUGGGGUAGGGAGCUUAACCUACUUAAAAUCAAUUCGAAUGUGAGCUUGUGAGGUAUUAUUGGUUUCUUCAGUACAGGUGAAGCUCACUGGCUUAUCAUUUAGUGGGUUUCAAGUGAGAAGAUGAAAGCCUUCUUUUGCAGUGGCUGAUGAAGGUUCUAUUUCUGAGGCAAAAUCUAUAGUGCAUUCGAUGAAAAUUGCUGGAACGUGCCUCAAACAUCAACAAACCAGUGAUAAAGCAACCCGUCAUAGUGAGAUCUUUAAUAUUGUUAAAGUUUUUUGGUGGUAACUGGUAAGCACACCCUUUGGAACGCGAAUGUACACAUGAACCAAUGAAAUAUAUCAUGUGAUGUCUUUAACAUAAAUGGUUGAAAUUUUUAUAUAACAUGCAACAAACAUUUGAAAUGUACAAUAUUUAGGACUUUUCAAUUA